CCCCCCCCCCCCCNGUGCCAGGAAUGCUCUUCCUUGUUCCGCAGCCUUCCACGCCUAGCGAGUGUCACAUCUGGAGGCAAUCUUCCCGGUUCCACCCCACCUGCUGAGGCCCCACCCUCUAAGUUCUCAGCAAGUUCAAGUUUAAAUCCUUUUCUAAAUACUUUUCCUUGCCAGGUGUGGCGGUGCACACCUGCCAUCCUGGCACCUGGGAGUUCAAGGACAGUCCCUGGGUUCCUUGUGAACUCCAGGUUCGUAGGACUACACACCAAAAUCACGUCCCACCCGCAACACUCCUUUUCCCUUCUUGGACCCUAUCAUAAUUUUUAAGGGCUUGUUAAUGAUCUAAUAAAUUGUUAUUUGGACAAUCACUGGCUUCGUAUCUGUCACCCCAGUUAGGGAACACUGCCCCAGGGAGACACCUUGCCCAUUCGCUCACCCCAGCAGAGCCCGGUGAGCGCAGACUCAAGGAGAAAUAGGUUGUUGAGGAGCACAGCUUGGCAAGCUGCCGUGUGGAAAGCCCGGACUGGCCUCCCUUUCCCUGAGUGGCAGGACCAGUUCCUCUCCCCAUGGGGAGGGACAGCAGGCCUCCGGUUUCUGGAAGGCUCCUUGUCUUCCUUCUAAUUCCGGAAGUAAAAAGCACAUGUAUUCUCACCAACGAGGAUGCUAUCUGUGCCAGACCCCCCAAAUCUCCAGCUAAACCGAACAGGGAAAGCAAACAACAUUCUGGUUCACAAGUUCAGGGGGCAAAGAUAAGAAUCACAAAUGAGCAAGCAGACAGGAGCACUCAUUGGGUUUGAACCUUGCCAGGCCCUUCCAUGAGCACCCCUGAGAAGUCCUCUAGGAGUAGGGGACAUUUCCACCUCGCAGGUCCAGAAACUAAGGCAGUCCCUGAGGGCAGGGUGAAGCAGGCUCCCCAGGGUCUCUCUACCCAUAUCUGGACAGGAUCGGCUUUCAGGGUCAUUUUUUCCCUCCUUUGCUAACCUACCUGGUCCAAAGGACCUCUCACGGCUUCCCUUCCAGUCACCUAGCCUCCUGUCAGGCCCCUCCUCUGCAGAGUCCUCUGCCUUCUCCAUCCUGUCUUCCUCUCCCUUCAUUCCUCCCCUCUUCCGUUUCCAUGGCAACCCCGUCCUCCGCUCUGCCACUCGGUCUGGUCUUGCCUUCCCAUCUCCUCUCUUUCUCUCCUCUUUCAUGUCCCUCACCAUCAGUGUAGAGUCCAGCUGUCCCCCAUGCCCUCCCCUGCUGCCCCUUCUGUUCCCUUUAUCUCCUCCAACGGCCUCUUGUCAUCUCAGAGUGACAUUUAUUUAUCUCUUGCUUAAAAAUAAAAAGGAAGGAAAAGAGAAAACAGAAACCCUAGUCGAUUUGGCCUGGCCCUUCCAGUUUAGUUCCAGCCUCCCUUCCCAUGAGCCAAAGGGUCAAAGCCCCUGGGCUGCCAGGAGGAAGGAAAACCUCCCUAAGGAAAGGACCCUCUGCCUGCUAGAGAGUGUUCCCUCUUUGACGUAUAGUUGGGGGUGGGGCCUGCUGGGAGAGGGCCCCUAGAGUAGCCUGAGGUACCCUCAGGAUAGAGCAAGGCUCAGACAGGCCCAGAAUCUCCCACGAUGCUGCACAAGGUAGGAAUUCACUGUUCUCAGGGAAACCCAACAGCCUGAGGCUCCUCUCCCAGGCCCACCUGGCCUUAAGAACUGGUGCAGGCCUUUAAUCCCAGCACUUGGGAGGCAGAGGCAGGCGGACAGCCAGGGAUACACAGAGAAACCUUGUCUUACUGAUUCUCAAUGGAGCCAGCGCUCAUCCGUACAAACAGGUGAUAGAAAUCACCAAUUCUUCAAGAUGUACUUUUUCAGGGAUGGGGGUGUGGCCUAGUAGCAGAGCACUUGUCUGGUGUGCAGGACUCCUAGGGCUCCCUCUCCUUGGGGGGUGGGAUUGAGGGUUUCCCCCCAGUGUCCUUCCAGCUCCCACAGACUGAGCUCCUAGUAGGGGCUAGGCAGGGAGACGGACAUCUGUGUUUUUAUUUUACAGACAGACAAACUGAGAGGAGGGACUGCUGUUUGAGUCACAUGGCCUAUUAACUAUGCUCUUCCUUUAUAGACCCCCACUUCUCCCUGCACUCCCAGACACUGUAGUCCCGAGCCCAGCCUCCUCUAGGCCACGACACUGCUGUGCUUAAUCUGAACUGAUCAGAAACAAAGGUCCAGGAACGGAUUUACCACAGAAAGGAGAGCAAGCCGAUUAUGCCGGUGGCCUGGAAGCUCAAAUCAACACAGGAUGGGAGAAGUGGUAUCAAGUCCCUUGGUGACAUGGAGUGUGAUGAAGGAGCCCAAGGGCCAUGAAAGACCUCGGCAGUAGCUGAGUAACAUUGCAUGACAAGGAGCUGGCUGAGAUCCUUAGUCUUGAGUCCUGGGCUCCCAGGGCCCAGAGAGUGCUAGGGGAGUUCUGGGAGGAGCCAGGAAGGCCAGGGCCUCCCUCUGCAAAUGAGCAGGAGAGGUGUCUGUCUUCUUCCAGCUUUGCCACCUUGAGCUGUGCAUUCUCAGCAGGUGGCUCAAGUUUCCGGGGCCAGGGGGGGGGGCUGUAAGUCAGGUGUUUACCUUCUGAGGUCAUGGGUGUAAAGAAUGGCACCUUGGUAACAAGACCCCUUCCAUAAGCUGGGUAUGACGGUGCAUGCCUGUCAUCCUGGCACUUUUUUGAGCUAGAGGACUGUUGCAACCUUAAGGCUAGCCUGGGCUACAAAAUAAAUUCCAGGCCAGCCAUGGUUCUGUAACAAGAACUUGUCAAAAAAAGAAGGAGAAGGAGAAAGAGGAGGAGGAGAAGGAGGAAAAGAGGAAGAAGGAGGAGGAAGAGGAAGAAGAGAAGGAAAGAAAGAAAGAGAGAGAGAGAAAGAGAGAGAGAGGGAGAGAGAGAGAGAGAGAGAGAAAGAAAGAAAGAAAGAAAGAAAGAAAGAAAGAAAGAAAGAAAGAAAGAAAAAAGUCAGGACAGGAAAAGAGAAAACGAGGAGUUCCCAGAGGAGGAAAUGAAGCAGAGAGGAGCUGAGUGGCCUGGCCCAGGCCCUGAGGUGACGUGGCAGCUGGGUCUAACCUCAUGCCUUGCUUUCAUGAAAGCAGUGGGGGAGACACUGCAAUCUGCAGGUACGGCUUGUAUGCAGAGAGGGAUGGGAGCCAUUGCUAUCAUAAUUACCGCCAAUGCUGUUGCCUAUUUCAAGGGACAGGUAGGUGCUAACAGGACACAAAGAUCUUCAAUAUCAGGGACCUCACAGUUUAUUAGAGACAAGAUUAAAAGUCACAAACCAGAAAAGGCAAAUCAGACAGGAAAUGAGUAUUGGGGGGGGGGUGCCCCAACAGGACAUAGUAACGUUCCCCCCACUCCCAUUUAAGGGAUCAGGAAUGUUCUUCCAUGUAAGCCAGCACUGUGGAAGACAACAGAAUUGACCUGAGCCGUAACAUUAGACUGACAUUUGUCCCUUCCUGCCACACUGGCUUGUGUGGGCCUCGUCACCUGACCUAUCCAUGGGACAUGAUUUCUUCUUUCUAGGUGGUCAGGAGGUGGAACAGAAGCCCACUGGACGAAUGCAACCAAUGUGGGUCACUCUCCAGGAGGGUGGGUGGGGAGGCCUGGCUAAGGGUAUAGGAAGCUGCCACACAGACAGAUGCAGCAGGGCGCAGGGUAGAGGAAGGAAGGGACCGAGUACAGAGGAGAGCAGCAGACAGAAGUGCUGAGGUUGGAGGGCAGGCAAGGAGUGUGGCCUGGCCCUGAGCUCUCCCCUUUCUCACAGCCGUCAAUGACUCAUCCCGGGGCCUCCAUCCCCGCACAGCCUGUGACAGUGCCGCCUCUCCCAGCCUAGCCGGCACUGGUAUCAGCAUUUAUUUUGCAAUCACCCACAAACCCAAGUCAGGUCUGGGUUUACGCCAGGAGAAGCGUGAUUUGGGGGGCGGGACCGCUGGAGUUGACACGGGCAGAAGCCAGAUACACACACUGGCCGGCCACACAGGGAACCACGGGCACAGACCUGGUGUACUCACUUCCAUACAGGGAGAUGAGGGGAAGCCUGUGCAAGAAGUGGAGGGCCCCAUGUCCAUGCGUGCUGCCCUCAACUCCACAGUCCGCGGAGGGACACGCAUAUAUGUGAGCAAUGGAGGAGGAGGAGGCUGGGGUCGCGGCACUGUCUUUAGGGCAUGCGCACUGCGGGCUGCUGGGUCUACAGGUACCAGACGCUAACAGAGAAAAGGGCUAAGAGAGCCUGGUUGCUGCCAGCUGCAGAAAGCUGGCCACUGUCAUGCACUGGGCAGUGCCUGGGCUGAUGUCCAGCACCAGAGUGAGACAAUGUUCACACAAUGGUGACCAAAUGGCUCCCCAACUGUCCUCAGAGAUGGCAGGUCUAAGCUGCCGGGCGGCCAGGAAGCAAGUGGUCACUCCCUCCAACACCUUAGGAUAUCCGGAGGAGAAGCAAAAGGGACUGCCCAUGCCUCUAAGAAAGGCUGGACCUCAGAGGCUCCAGUCUCAGGAAACACAAGAUGAGCCUGGAGGAAGCAGCUGGGGGAAAGCCUACAGUGUAGGCAUGCGCUCUUAGAGAUCCGAGCACAGGGAUGUCAGCCUGGAAGGACUCACAACACUGCAGACCUCACAAUGACACCUGCAGAAGAUUAGCUGUCACACGUGUAUGCUCGAGGUCCGGGAUUCCUCACAAGCCCCAGAAAGAGCUUGUCUUCUCAUCAUGGCCGUAGUGCCCCAAGAGGCUGUGGUUCACUGGGCCUCACGCUCGCACACAGGUCCGCGCCAGCCAUGGCGCUAGGACCGCAGUAGUCCCUGUCUUUAAAGACUGAAGCAUACUUAGCGCCUUGUUCCCCAUACUCCGAAGUUCUGACAAAGGAGUAGAGAAAGGCCAGGAGACACAGCCUGGACCGGGAACCUUUGGACUCUGCUCUAACAGGUGUGGCUAAUCUCACUUCCUGGAUCUCAGCUUGUGCAAGGUGCAGGCUAGAAGUUGGAGAAAGGCGUGGAAGGGGUGCGGGGAGCUGACAGUGAAAAAUGACUGAACGGCCUGACGAGGCCAUUCAGGGUAGGGACCCCAGCACCUGGGUUCCGUCAGGAAAGCUCAAAACCACGGCUAGAUUGCAUUAGAUUACAUUCCGUAAUCUUGGGCUCAGGGCUGGACUUGGGUGACUCUAUCCAGUCCCCAGCUGCCCCUGCAGCUUGUGCCACAGGGCUGAGGCUUAGUCCACGGCUGCCUCAUAGCCUGGGUAUGGGCACAGCUUCAACCUCUCAGACUCCUAUCCAUGAAUUGAAGACAGCACACGGCCAGCCAUCCAGGUUUGCUGUGGAUCCACCAAGAUAACCUUGACAGUCAGCUGAGGCCAGUUAUAAAUAAGUUACUAAAGCCAGAGGGAAGAUCUCAUGACUCGCGGGAGGCAUGAACAAAUGCCACGCCCCCAACCAUAGAUGCCCCGCCCCUUAUGAUUUUCCUGGAUACUCUGAAGCCGUGUUCGGGGAAGUUCUGGGACGGUAAACAACUCGAAGGUAUUCAAUCUGGCAAAUCCAGAGCCCGUUCUAUAACACAGCUGGUUUGCAUAGACCCUUCAAAGCCAAUGUGACACAUACACACCCCACACACAGAGCAGGGGGCCUGUUCUGAAUUAAAAGCCAAAGAGAGAAAACCAGAUGGAACGCGCAGACAGGAACGAGGCACGAAUGACAUUUUUGGAGGACAACUGGGAAAACUCAAAUUGGGGGACAUCAUGGACUAAGGUAUCACCAAGGAACCACGAUUUCUAGUUACGAUCGUGAUACCAAGUAGGAAACCCUGGCUCCUACUUGGGGGUGAAGCCUCUCACAAUCCAGUUUCAAAUGGCUCAGGAGAACCACACGACAGGGAGCAAGGGACAGCGAAUGUGCCGGAUCCAUGAGGGUGCUUCCCUCGUCAGUCAAGUUUGGCAAUUUCAAAAUAAAACCUUCCGAGUAAUCAGACCCCGUGGGCAAGCUGCGACCUGCCCCUUGGGUCUGCAGGACCGGGCUCUAGUUUCUUCUCCCGUCUGCCCACUGCGGAUCGCAAACAGGGUUAAGCAGACCAGUGUUCCCCAUCUGCACGGCAGGUAUCAAAACACGCUACAUAGCCUAAACAGUGGGGUGGAUAGGCAGGGGCACUCAGACCUGCCAGGGCACCAGCUGUCCAGGGCCCGCCCAGCCCAGCUGCUGCAGGCAGAGGGGAAGUCACAAUGCGGGCACAGCUUGGUAGCUCUGGUGCUCAGCUCAGCAUGUAGACACCGGCCAGCUAGGCUUGUUGGGGUGAUCCCAAGCCCUUAGAGGCUUCCUCCCUGGGGGUGCCACCUGGUCUCUCACGGCCCAUCUCUCACGGCAUGGACACCGAGUUCCUCUUUCCGUACUGUUUUGGACCCUUUGCCCUGUGGGAUCCUGGGCGCUUCAAGGGUAGUAUCUCGGGUGAGAGUAUAUCCCCAGCGUAACAGUGCAGCUCGGCCUUCAUCCCCCUCCAGGAGGGUGGUGGCAAGUCUCAAGCUCCUUCCAGCGGUGGUAGUCCUGGUAGUCCGUGGUGAUCAGGCCCCAGCCUUCCCCUCUCAUUCUCUAGGGAACUCUACCCUGCUCAGAGCUCUCCCAGUGCCCCUGGGCAAUGCAGUCGGCACCACCCCAAUGCACUGGGGCCAUGGAUAAGUUCCGAAGCAACUGGGCCACCUUCCCCAAGCCUCACUAGGGGGAUUUCCAGUGAACCCAAGAGAAUACACACAAGUGCCUAGGUUGGGCCUACCCCAGACCCCUGGGAACUUUGAAAUACCCUUCAAAUAACUACAAGAAAAGUCGAGACCCCUGACUCCUGUCCCAAGGGUCCAGGCCUGUCAUCCUGAGCCAGGCUACUGACUUACCCAGCGCCCUCUCCCCUCCUGCCACUCAAGAGCCUCCCAUGCCUUCAGCCUGCCCCUUACCCUCACUUUGCUUAUGCUAUGGCCUCCCUAUCUCCUCCUCCCCAGAUGCCAGUGUUCUUCAAGGCAUGGGAGAAGUGUCUUUUCGGGAACACAAGCCACCUCUCCGAGAGGGAAGCCAGUUCCCUGUUGUGUGGAACUGGGGACAAGAGCUGGAGGGAGACAGGGACACUGAAGAAGCCAGCACCGGUGAGGUCAUGCUGAGGGCUUGGAUACCAUCCUCAGCGAAGAGUUUAGGCAAAAGUCACAUACGCUUACACACACAUAUUUAAACCUUCAGUGCUAGGGAUGGGGCCUUGUAUAUCCUAGGCAAGCAUCCCACACAGCUACAACCACAGCCUUGCCAUGAACGUGUGUUCUUGUGAGUUUUGUUUUUUGAAUCUCACAUAAACCCUGACUCACUUCCAACUUGUGGCAAUCCUCCUGCGUCCACCUCCCGAGUGAUGGCAUUAUAGGUCUGCACCACCACUCCUGUUCUGAAGAUUUUUCUGGUUGCUGCGUGAAAACGCAAGGGGAGACCAGGGCGGUACCCCAGCUCCCUACCCCAGCUCCUCUCCUCAGUUUUUUCCCGUGCCCUGCUCAGUCCCCAGCUGCACAGCCUGCAAGGAAGCAGUGAACGAGAAUGCAAGCCAGGUUGGUUCUGUCACCAGGGAAUGGAAGAGGCUUUUUUUCCACUGUGGCCAGUAGGGUUGACAGCAGAAUGUGGGGAGGACACGGCGAGGGACCGAGGGCUAACAAUGAGAAUUCAUCCCGGGCUCCCAGUGGGCAGAGACCAUCUGGCCAGAGCCAGAGGACACUGAAGGGACGCCCCUUGGUGAGGAAGACAUUACUCCAGCCACUUCAGUGAGGCUCUGGAAACCUAAGGAGCCUGGUGUCACUGAAAAGAACAUUAAAAUCCAGAUGAAUGGCUGGGAAAUGUUACACAUCAAUCCAGUCAAGGGCUUCCCCUAGAUAAAGUAAUGGAAAGAGGAAGAAGAAAUGAAGGAGGUGGGUGGGCAGGCGAGGGGGAGGAGGGGAAGCAGAGGCCAGGAGAGGAAGCUGGGAGAGGAGGGAGGAAGGUCUCAAACUCUGUGAGCUCACAGAGAAAGGUGGAAAAGAGACAGAGAAAAGAGGAAGGAGAAGUUGGAGUUCGUUCCCUUUUGAAAUGCAAGUUUCAGGGCUGGAGAGAGAGCUCAGUGGUUAAGAGCACUGACUGUUCUUCCAAAGGACCCAGGUUCAAUUCCCAAUACCCACAUGGCAGCUCACAACUGUCUGUAAUUCCAGGGGACCUGACACCCAUGGCAGAACACCAAUGCAGAGAGAGAGAGAGAGAGAGAGAGAGAGAGAGAGAGAGAGAGAGAGAGAGAGAGAGAAACAAAGCUAUUCAUGGGGAGGUCAACCUCCUCUCCUACCAGAGAGAGGCCCAUCUGCGUGGCCAUGCCUCUGGCUGUCUAUGCCACCAUCUGGGCUCUACACUCGGAAGGACUUGUUCCUGGUCUCAUGUUCGGCAAGACUCUCCUACUCAUUUUCAAACAUAGGGUGUUUGGUCACCUGGCCCUGAAAAUUACGGAGCCAGACCUGGCUGACCU